rnacentral:rRNA from 1 species
AUUGAACGCUGGCGGCAGGCCUAACACAUGCAAGUCGAACGGAGCGGCGGACGGGUGAGUAAUGCCUAGGAAUCUGCCUGGUAGUGGGGGAUAACGUCCGGAAACGGACGCUAAUACCAAUUACUAUCAGAUGAGCCUGGGUCGGUUUAGCGAGUGGGAGGGGUAAAGGCCUACCAAGGCGACGAUCCGUAACUGGUCUGAGAGGAUGAUCAGUCACACUGGAACUGAGAAACGGUCCAGACUCCUACGGGAGGCAGCAGUGGGGAAUAUUGGACAAUGGGCGAAAGCCUGAUCCAGCCAUACCGCGUGUGUGAAGAAGGUCUUCGGAUUGUAAAGCACUUUAAGUUGGGAGGCGUUACCAACAGAAUAAGCACCGGCUAACUCCGUGCCAGCAGCCGCGGUAAUUC